UUUCUUCUAUCAUUCUUUGGCUCUUAGAUUUCCUCCUUUUAUGAAAUUUUUAAUACAUAAAUAUAAAUAUUCAAUAUGCGCAAAGCAUAUAAAUAUAGUACAAUUUCUUACUUUUACAAUGAAAAUUUUGUUGUUACAUUUCCCCACUCAAGAUCAGUCCAGAUGAACAAUAAAUUUGACCGAUUGUUUUCCUCGCUUGCCAGAACUUCUCAUAUACGCCAAUUAUAAGCCAAAA
rnacentral:misc_RNA from 1 species